GCAGUCAUGGCCGAGUGGUUAAGGGGUUAGACUAGAAAUCUAAUCCCCUCUUGUGUUGCAGGUUUGAAUCCUGCUGGCGGCG
rnacentral:tRNA from 1 species